rnacentral:rRNA from 1 species
AUUGAACGCUGGCGGCAUGCUUUACACAUGCAAGUCGAACGGUAACAGGUUAAGCUGACGAGUGGCGAACGGGUGAGUAAUGCAUCGGAACGCGCCCGAUCGUGGGGGAUAACGCAGCGAAAGCUGCGCUAAUACCGCAUACGAUCUGAGGAUGAAAGCGGGGGACCGUAAGGCCUCGCGCGAUCGGAGCGGCCGAUGUCAGAUUAGGUAGUUGGUGGGGUAAAGGCUCACCAAGCCAACGAUCUGUAGCUGGUCUGAGAGGACGACCAGCCACACUGGGACGGAGACACGGCCCAGACUCCUACGGGAGGCAGCAGUGGGGAAUUUUGGACAAUGGGCGAAAGCCUGAUCCAGCAAUGCCGCGUGCAGGAAGAAGGCCUUCGGGUUGUAAACUGCUUUUGUACGGAGCGAAAAGGCUCUCUCUAAUACAGGGGGCUCAUGACGGUACCGUAAGAAUAAGCACCGGCUAACUACGUGCCAGCAGCCGCCGUAA